rnacentral:lncRNA from 10 species
GACUUCCCUCAAAGGCUGUAACAACCCGGCUGCCGCGGAUUUCGCUGCUGCCCUCCCAGUUGAAUUGAAAAGACAGGAUGAAGUGGACACAGCAUGUGAAGACAAUUCUUUCAAGAAGUUUGGCUGUCAAGGAAAACAGAGAAUGUGCUAAAGAACAUACAGACACAGAGCAGACAGGCCACCUUUGCAACCACAUGGAGGUUUGUCUGAUAUUGAAGCUAAAGAAGCUAAGCUGGAAGACAGAGAGACCAAGUCCUGAUGACAUUGUUUGAACCCAGAGAUCCAGACAUGCCUGAAAACUAGUUUUACCACUGGACUUAUCCGUUGAAUGAGCCAAUAAACUCUCUUUUAUACUUAACCUUGGGUUUUACCUGGAUUUUUGUCAUUGACAGCUCAAAAUAUUCUAAUAUAGAAGUAUACAUCAUUAAAUCAACAUUUCUUUUUUUCUCUGUCUUAUUUUAAAUGUAACUCUAUAAGGUACUCUAAAAGUAUUCUACAGUCUCACUAAGUUAAUCUGCAAAUUUGGUAAAAUUCCAAUAUUAAUCCCAAAAGUAUUUUAAGAGCUUGUUUUUGUUGUUUGCUUGUUUGGGACUAAACAGAAUUACUCCAAAAUUCAUUGAGAGAAAAAAAAACAUGAAAAAAAAAACAAGAAAAUAGAAUUCAUAAAAGGAAAUUGUAUUAUAUAACAAAGCAUAAAACAAGAAUAAUAAACAUAGAGUGGUAAUGGAAUAAAUAAACAGUCAUGGAACAGAAUUCAAAGCCUGAAUAUAUCUAAGAGCACUUACCAAAUUUAAUAUGUGGUACAUCAAGAAAAGAUUAAUCCAGUAAAGUAUAUAAGUACAUUGAGCUAGAUUUAGAGGAGAAAGAUAAUUAGAUCGUUACCUUAUUCCCAGAAUAAAUUUCAAAUGGAUUUGUGACUUAAGUGUAAAAAUUGAAGCCAGAUUCUCAAUAUACAUUGAUUGGCAUAUAAUUGGCACAGUCUUUAGCAAUAUCAAUUAAAUGUUAAAUAUUAAUAACAACACAGCCUUUCAAUUCUAGAAAUAUAUCCUACAGAAACAAAAUAUAUGUAUAAAUAUAGAUAAUGCAGUAUUGGAAUAUCAAAAGUAGUACACAUAUGAAAUAGGAUAUGGAAUACCUAUAUCAUGAAUUCACGGGGUGGCAACAUCGCAACAAGGAGGUGAAAAUUGAUUCUUGAGGGAAAUUUUUUUUUCUAAAGCAUAGAUAUGUGUGUAAAGCACAUAAACAAAUAUACAGUAUAUAUGUGGUAUUGAAACUUCAUGGGAGAGUAAUAAUUAAGAAAAAAAUGUCUACACUGGGUGCAGUGGCUCAUGCCUGUUAUCCCAACACUUCGAAAGGCCAAGGUGGGUGGAUCAUGAGGUCAGGAGUUCAAGACCAGCCUGGCCAAGAUGGUGAACCCGCAACUGUACUAAAAAUACAAAAAUUAGCCGGGCAUGGUGGCAGGCGCUUGUAAUCCCAGCUACUCAGGAGGCUGAGGCAGGAGAAUCGCUUGAACCUGGGAGGUAGAGGUUGCAGUGAUCCAAAAUCACGCAACUGCACUCCAGCCUGGGUGACAAAGUAAGACUCCAUCUCAAAAAAGAAAAAAGAAAAAAGUCUAAAAGGCUGAGAAAAACUGUGGUAUACAAUUCAAUACCAUGUUAAAAAGAAUGAGGUAGACUUGUAUGUUGACAAAAGAGGAUGUCCCAAGAUGCAUUGCUUUUAAAAAACAAGUUGUAAAAUAAUAUGCAUAAUAUGGUUCCUUUUUUAAUGAUUAAUAUAUGUUGAUACAAAUGAAAAAGUAUUGAUGGUGUUUUUCUCUGGGGUUAAAAUUAAUGUUUAAUUCUAUAUUA